UUUUCAAACUUUUUUUCCUCUCUCGCUCUCGCUCUCCUCUCCUCCUCAAAUAUCUGCCAGCCCACUCCUUUUUAAGAGAAAAUAAAUCAUUUCCAUUGUGUGCAAAUAAAAUCGACUUGACAUGCUUGCCAAUAGCUGGAAUAAAAGCAACAGCCACCAAAAUUUCAACAAGACUACACAAGUAAAUGCCAAACAGCAAACCGUCUGCACGGACUCAUUAAACAAGAAUCCCUCGCGAAGGUAACGAGCAGGAGAGCAGGACAGAAUCGCUCUUCUUCGGCUCAAGAGAGGAAAGGAGCCCGCAGCAGGCAAAUCACAAACUCCGCACCGUUUCAAGCUGCAGCCCCGCCGCCUGCCCGAUCCUACGCGUGUGCAUCCUAACUCCGAGCCCCUCGCUGGGAAUCGUUUUCUGCGUGUGUUGAGCGCAGUGAAUAAGCUCUCAUAGCUCAGAAAUGCUUUGGAGGGCGCAAAGGGGAGGAGAUGUCUUGGGGCUGAUUUUUUUACAAGGUUCUACAUAAAAAAGUUUACAGUACUGAGUGAGAUUUAAAUCUCAUUUCAAAGGCUGAGGGGAGAGAAAAAAAAAAAUGAAAAAGAAAAGCAAAUGAAAAAGCUGUCCUCUGAAGUUGCUAAUUAAAUUACCCUCUGAUGCUUCUACUUCAGCCAGAAAGAUCGGGGUUCGUGCUGUUCCCCCCGCUCCGUCCCCCGCUUUUCCCGUCGGUGCGCUGCCUGUUCUAUACGAGUACCGGCUAUCGCCUCUGCUUCCUUGGCUUACAAGUAAAACAACCCUUUCCUGAAAUCACCCUCACCUCCACAAGAAAAGAGAGAGGGAAGGGAAAAUGCGGAGGGAGAGCCUUCCCACAGCUGACUCUACCUUAAGACAAUUAAUCUUUAGUCUUUCACCCUGGGAGGCAGGAUAAAUACAACGAGAAAACAGAUAGGAGUCUCCCCGGUCCUGUAAGGAAAACAGCUGUUCCAAGCACUUUAAUGCAAAUGAACACAAAUGAAGGUUUCAGCUUUUUUUUUUUUUUUUUCUUCCAGAGUUUUACUGCACUCCAUUUAUCAAUUGGACUUGACAACAAAAGAAAGAACUGGGGGAAAACCUGGGGCAGAUUCAAGUCACUUCCACUCUAGAUAAAGGAGGGGGGACAGGGGGAAGUUCCUUGAGGGCAAGUUGUGGGUCUUGUCAGUCCUAUUGCAAUAUCGUGGGUUUUAUGCAAGAUUUCUUUCUCUACCUCCUCUCCCCUGCCUUUUAAUUUUGAUGGUCCUGCAAGAUGACAGCGGUGGUUGCAAAAUGAAAGUACAUUUAUGAUUCUCCACUGAGAAGUUGUGCCAAUAAACCUUAUCUUUCAGAGAAAAGAUAGAAAUUUAAAAGUUUGUUAAAAUUAAUCGCAUCUUUAUUAAAGCUAUAGGAGUUCCGUGUAUUUAUCCUACUCUAUACACUGUAGUAAAAGAGUAAAGUGGUUUAAAUAAAAUACAGCAGAUAUACUUACUGCGCUGCAAGAUUUAAAGGGUACCUCUUGGAGGGGAAAGGGGGGGGGGGGAUACCGAAGAAAACCUGCUUUACAUAUACCUCGUAAGAGCAGGUCAUUAAAGACUAUCUGACGCAUCUGUUUAGGGACUGGGGCAGAUCGGUGUUUCAAGGGAAGAAAAAGGACUGGGUUCAGCAAAUCUAAACGUGAGAAAGUGAAAGUCCUUCCUCUCGUCCAACCCUUCCAGGAUCAGCGCCUGUUCUGGUUGGAGUCCAGGUCAGGAAUUGGACGCGACCCCUAAAGCACUUGCCUUGUUCUUCACUUGUCAAACGUGUUUUAUCUCUAAGUGACCUUUUUGUUAAUGUUGUAGAUUGUGUGGGCCACCAUGUCAGAUCCGGAAACAAAAGUAAAAGAUUGAUUAACACA